GACGAACGCUGGCGGCGUGCUUAACACAUGCAAGUCGAACGGGUCUGCCCUGUUUUUUGCGGGGUGGGUCAGUGGCGAACGGGUGAGUAACACGUGAGUAACCUGCCCCUCACUUCUGGAUAACCGCUUGAAAGGGUGGCUAAUACGGGGUGUUCUGGCUGUGCCGCAUGGUGUGGCUGGGAAAGAUUCACUUUUGUGGUGUUUUGGUGGGGGAUGGGCUCGCGGCCUAUCAGCUUGUUGGUGGGGUGAUGGCCUGCCAAGGCUUUGACGGGUAGCCGGCAUGAGAGGGUGGGCGGUCACACUGGGACGGAGAUACGGCCCAGACUCCUGCGGGAGGCAGCAGUGGGGGGUAUUGCACAAUGGGCGGAAGCCUGAUGCAGCGACGUCGCGUGAGGGAUGGAGGCCUUCGGGUUGUGAACCUCUUUCGCCGGUGAAGAAGGUCCUGCUCUUUGUGGUGGGGUUGACGGUAGCCGGGUUAUGAAGCGCCGGCUAACUACGUG
rnacentral:rRNA from 1 species